rnacentral:rRNA from 1 species
CCUACGGGAGGCAGCAGUGAGGAAUAUUGGUCAAUGGACGAGAGCCUGAACCAGCCAAGUAGCGUGAAGGAUGACUGCCCUACGGGUUGUAAACUUCUUUUAUAUGGGAAUAAAAUGUUCCACGUGUGGGAUUUUGUAUGUACCAUAUGAAUAAGGAUCGGCCAACUCCGUGCCAGCAGCCGCGGUAAUACGGAGGAUCCGAGCGUUAUCCGGAUUUAUUGGGUUUAAAGGGAGCGUAGGUGGAUUGUUAAGUCAGUUGUGAAAGUUUGCGGCUCAACCGUAAAAUUGCAGUUGAAACUGGCAGUCUUGAGUACAGUAGAGGUAGGCGGAAUUCGUGGUGUAGCGGUGAAAUGCUUAGAUAUCACGAAGAACUCCGAUUGCGAAGGCAGCUCACUGGACUGCAACUGACACUGAGGCUCGAAAGUGUGGGUAUCAAACAGGAUUAGAUACCCCGGUAGUC